rnacentral:lncRNA from 13 species
CUUUCCAAAACCAAUUAGACUGAUUGCUGACCACCACUUCAUUUACAUGGGGUGAACACCAGGUGGCCAAUGGGAAACCUCUAGGGGGUAUUUGGACAGCAGAAGAUACUGUAACGGGGGCCCUUGAGCCACUGCUCUGGCCCCCUCCCACCCUGUGGAGAGUACUUUCAUUUUCAAUAAUUUCUACUUUGUUGCUUCCGUCUUUCCUUGCUUUACCAUGUGUUUUGGUCAAUUCUUUACUCAAAACACCAAGAACCUGGACAACUUGCAGUCAAGACCCUCUACCAGCAACUUCGCAUCCCUCCAUCUGUGGGAGAAGCCAGGGCAAGCACAGGGGAGGACUCUAUGCUUUCCGAAGCUGAAGAGAGGAGAAGCACACACAGACACACACACAGAGGAGAAAGCCGCGUGAAGACACAGACACACAGAGGGAAGGCAGCUUUGUGGUGACGGAGACAGAGACUGGAGUUAUGCAGCUGCACACCAAAGAAGGCCUAGGAUCACUGGAAAUCACAAGAAAUGAGGACAGAAAUCAUGGCCUUGCUGAUGCCUUGAUUUUGGACUUCUGGCCUCCCGAACUAUGAGAGCAUCAACUUCUGUUGCUUAGCCAUCUGUUUGUGGUGCUUUGUUAUGUUUGCCCUAAGAAACCAAUACAGGCAGGGGCUGUUGAUUGUAUUCUUUCAAAAGCAGUAGAGUAGAUCCCACCUACUCACCUUUGAAAUGGGUUAGCUGAGCCUGAGAGGGCCUGAGCACUUUCCUCAAGGGCAGUGCUCUCAUGCUGCUGGUCCUUUCACACAAUGUCCUGCCUUAGCUUGCUGGGUUCAUGUGAGUGAAGCCCCACCUCUGCAUCAGGUCAAGUUCUUGGUGGACCAGGUCCUGUUCAUGGUGAUGGUAGAAGCAGCCAGUCAGCUCUACUAAAAGUGAUGGGACUCCAGCUUUCUUGAAGGAAGCCCAUGUUAUAAGAAUUAGUAAGGAGUCUGCCAGCCCUGAUUCUGUGCCCUUAUGGAGGUCUCUGUGCCAUCAAGGACUCAUUGGACUUUAUAAUGCAGAAGGGCAGGAAACUGUCCCCAUUAGCAUUAGGAUUGCAACUCUGCCUUCAUUAUCUCAGAGUUGUUCACACUUGGACCAACUGAUACUUGUAUCCUUUCAUUAGCCCUAUUUUUUAAAAUGCAAUAAAGCCCACAAUAUAAUACUGCUCA